rnacentral:lncRNA from 1 species
CAUUCCUAUCCAGUGGUUUGUUCCCUCUUGAACUAGACCUAAGUAGAGACUGGCGAAAAACACUUUCAUUUGAAAGCGUUUGCCAAUUCCAGAAAAGUGCGAGUUUACUGAUAUCUUGGAAAAUAGUUUUUCAACCAAUCUUCAUGAUACCUAGUGAUAAUAUUCAGUACACCAAUCCCACUUGGUUCCCCAAAAUUCGUUUUUCUAGGUUAAAGCGUUCGAUUGCAGUAACAGUUUGAAAUUUUAAGUUUCAAUCUGUUUCCUCCUAUAGGGAUACAUGACGUUGAAACUCUAUAUCAAACACGGUUUGUUGUAGCUCCUUGAAACUUCACAAAGUGAACUAGUUCUCAAUACACUCUGAAGGUUCUGAUCUCUCUUAAAGUACAACGAAAGAAAGGCAGGGAAUGAACAAUUUCAUUUGAAAGCGUUGGCCAAGACUCCACAGAAUUUCGAUUUUCCGGAAAUCUCAGCAAAUAUUUUUGCAUCCAAUCUCAGUGAUACUUAGCGGUAAUAAUCAGAACACCAAUCCCACUUGGCUACCCAGAUUUCAUUCUUCUAGGUUGAAGCGUCCGUUUGCAGUAAAAGUAUUAAUUAUUUGGUUUCACUCUGUUUUCUCCAAUAGUGAUAGAUGCAGUUUGAAUUUUAAAUCAAGCAUAGUUUCUGCUAGAUGCUUGAAACUUCACACAGAAUUCAUUCUCAGUGCGCUCUCAAUGUUGUAUUCCCUCUUGUAGUAGACCGAAGAAGAGGCAUGGAAUGAACCAUUUCAUUUGAAAGCGUUGGCCAAGACUCCACUGAAUUCUGAGUUACCCGAAAUCCCAGCAAAUAUUUUCUCACCCAAUCUUGAGGAUACCAGCGGUAGUGAUCAGUAUACCAAUCCCACGUGUUUCCCCAAAUUUCGUUUUUCUACGUUAAAGUGUUCGAAUGCAGUAACAGUUUGAAUUUUUAAGUUUCAAUCUCUUUUCUCCUAUAGGGAUACAUGACGUUGGACCUCUAUAUCAAACACGGUUUGUUCUAGNCAUUUGAAAGCGUUUGCCAAUUCCAGAAAAGUACGAGUUCCCUGCUUUCUAGACGAAUAUUUUCUCACCCAAUCUUGAGGAUACCUUGCAGUAAUGAUCAGUACACCAAUCCCACGUGUUUCCCCAAAUUUCGUUUUUCUACGUUGAAGUGUUCGAAUGCAGUAACAGUUUGAAUUUUUAAGUUUCAAUCUCUUUUCUCCUUUAGGGAUAGAUUCCGUUGGAACUCUAAAUCAAACACGGUUUCUUCUAGCUCCUUGAAACUUCACACAGUGUAUUACUUCUCAGUACACUCUCAAGGUUCUGUUCCCUCUUGAAGUACAAUGAAGGAAAGUCAGGGAAUGAACAUUUUCAUUUAAAGGGUUGUCCAAGAUUCUACUGAAUUCUGAGUUACCCGAAAUCCCAGCAAAUAUUUUCUCACCCAAUCUUGAUGGUACCUAAUGGUAAUGAUCAGUACACCAAUCCCUCUUGCUUCCCCAAAUUUUUUUCUUCUGGUUGAAGCGUUCCUUUGUAGUAACAGUUGGAAUUUUCAGGUUUCACUCUGUUUUCUCCUAUAAUGAUAGAUGAAGUUCNNNNNNNNNNNNNNNNNNCCGAAACCCCAGCAAAUACUUUCUCACCCAAUCUUGAUGAUACCUAUUGGUAAUGAUCAGUACACCAAUCCCUCUUGCUUCCCCAAAUUUCGUUCUUCUAGGUUGAAGCGUUCGUUUUGAGUAACAGUUUGAAUUUGCAGGUUUCACUCUGUUUUCUCCUAUAAUGACAGAUGGAGUUGUAACUCUAAAUCACACAUGGUUUGUGCUAGACCCUUGAAACUUGACACACUGCAGCACGUCUCAUUGGUAUCUAACGGUUUGCUCCCUCUUGAAUUGGACCUAAGCAGAGACUGGUGAAGAACACUUUCAUUUGAAAGCGUUUGCCAAUUCCAGAAAAGUACGAGUUCCCUGCUAUCUAGACGAAUAUUUUCCAACUCAAUCUUGAUGAUACCUAGCGGUAAUUAUCAG